rnacentral:rRNA from 1 species
GACGAACGCUGGCGGCGUGCUUAACACAUGCAAGUCGAACGGAAAGGCCCUGCUUUUGUGGGGUGCUCGAGUGGCGAACGGGUGAGUAACACGUGAGUAACCUGCCCUUGACUUUGGGAUAACUUCAGGAAACUGGGGCUAAUACCGGAUAGGAGCUCCUGCUGCAUGGUGGGGGUUGGAAAGUUUCGGCGGUUGGGGAUGGACUCGCGGCUUAUCAGCUGGUUGGUGGGGUAGUGGCUUACCAAGGCUUUGGCGGGUAGCCGGCCGGAGAGGGUGACCGGCCAAAUGGGGAAUGAGAUACGGCCCGGACCCCUACGGGGGGAAGCAGGGGGAAAUUUGGCACAGGGGGCGGAGGCCUGACGCAGCAGCGCCGGGGGGGGGAUGAGGCCCUUCGGGUUGUAACCCUUUUUCGCCGGUGAAGAGGGGGGGGGGGGGGAAGGGGAAAAAGAGACACGGCCAAACUACGGG